AAGUCGUAACAAGGUUUCCGUAGGUGAACCUGCGGAAGGAUCAUUAACACGUAUCCACGUAUCAACCCCUUGUGCUUUUUACGUUUGACUAGCCUGUCUUGAACGUUGGUGUCUGAGUUGCUGCGAGAUUGAAUGGCUGGACCUUCGGGUGCAGUUCUCGCAGUGGCGUUGGGAGCAUCUUCGGAUGUUCGCACAGAUCCUUCGUUCUAUCGCUACAGGCUUUUUUUGUUAUCCAUUCUAACAUGUUUUUUAAACAUAAACCCUUUGUUAACAUCUUGCUAACUUAAUCUUGGACGUGCGUUUGCGAAAGCGAACCUAUUCCAUUAUUACGAAAUGCUUGACAACUCUUAGCAACGGAUAUCUUGGUUCUC
rnacentral:misc_RNA from 1 species